GGUCUGCAACCAUGCGAGCAACAGCUUUCGCCGGACACCUUUGUUUCAGGCAUGAACAACAAGUUACUCACAAUUGAGUUGAGAAAUGCCUGGCAAUUAUUUGGCAAUUGGCAAGAAACCAGCAUGAUGCCAACUUUUUUUUUUAACUGGGAGCAUGAUGCCAACUUGAAGCUGAUAUAAUUUCCUGAUGUUAUACAUCUCGAUGUAAAUGUGAAGCGGUGUAGCUUUGUACUAGUACUACAAACCCUGGAUAUACUAGCCAUUUAUUAUUUUUAUGUGGCUUUAUUAUGCCAACAAUUAGUUCGUUUCUUUUCUAAGGAUGCACAAGUACGUUGAAGUUUAACGUGAUUUUAAGAGCUUUUGUGAUAA